GCCUGGGUAGCUCAGUCAGUUAAAGCAUGCUGCUAAUAAUGGCAAGGUUGGAAGUUCGAUCCCUGUACGGGACA